ACAAAAAGAAGAGUCCUAAAUAGGACGAAACGCGCGUCCUGGAU
rnacentral:hammerhead_ribozyme from 1 species